CAUGCUGAAUUUAAGCAUAUUAGCAGAGGAAAACAAACCAACUAGGAUUUGUUCUGUAAUGGUUAGUGAACAGAGAAGAGCCCAAUACCGAAUCCCUAUCCAGCAGUGAGGCACAGGAAAUAUGGCAUACAGAAGACCCAUUCCCCAGCACUGCUCUUAGGAGGCUCAAGUCCUUUUGAUCAAAGCACAGUCCAUGAAUGUUGUGAGGCCAGUACUGACCCCUGGCAUGCCAGGACACACCAGGAUUGGGUCUUCUUGGAGUCAGGUUGCUUGGAAAUUCAGCCCAAAGGAGAUCCUAAAGUCCAUCUAGGGCUAAAUACCAGCAUGAGAUUAAUAUUCAGUAAGUACCAUAAGGGAAAGUUGAAAAGAACUUUGAAGAGAGAAUUCAAGAGGGAGUUAAAUAGUUAGGGUAUAAAUGGGUGGGGUCCACAUAGUCUGCCCAAAGGAUUCAACCCAGCCAGAUCUGUUAGCCCACAACGGACAAUAUAACCCCCUCACCACACUUAAUAGCAGGUGGUAGAAGACUACUCCCUGGAUGGCCCUGACCCUCACUGGGCACAUUUCCACUGUGGCAGUAUGCCACAACCAGUUCUGGGUCAGCUGGGAAGGCUCCACAGUGACUCCCAGAUCUCUUUCCUGUGUAAUAACAACUAAUAUAGAGCUCAUCAUAGUGCAAGUAUAAUUUGGGUUAUUUUUGCUGUUUUAAUGGAGGAUGUCUGUACAUUAUUUUUUUUUAUCAUGGAGAAACUUCUGCACAUCAGCUUCCAUAUGGUUCUUGAUAGAACAGGA
rnacentral:ncRNA from 1 species